rnacentral:tRNA from 1 species
AGAGACCAGAGGGCUUCGAUCCCACAUAUUAUUAGUUAACAGCUAACACGCUCAACCAAUGGCACUGAUCCC